rnacentral:misc_RNA from 1 species
GCUGCUUUUAUUAAGCCCAUCCAAACGGGCCCGUAGUAAUAUGACAGUUCCUAAAUAACCGAAACUUGGAGCUAAGCAUAUCAAUCCCAGAACUACAAGCAUAUCCAAAUCCACCCUUCUAAAUACAGUUUGCUUCAGAAUUUACCUAUGACUCAUGCUUAAGGUGCUCGUGUUUGUACUAAAUAAAAAUCCGUGUAACCUUAACUGGACACCCUCCCUUCCUGUUGGACCUAAACAGAAAAAGAUUGGAACCAUAUGUACUACAUGAGUCUUGGGAAGGAUACUACAGUGAGCGGAAAAAGAGCUUGAAUGCAGUGAGUAAAAUAGAUCGCAAGCAGUAAUAUUAGACUGUAGGGAAGACUUCUCUUCAGUAACGGAAGAAUCUCCACCAACGACCAAUUCACCUCCGAGAUGAUUCCCAUAGUUUUUGUUCAAUGGCCAAUUUCCUUAGCUCCAUCAGACCUUGCUCAACAUCAACAGCAUCA